UCGUGCACAUACAAACAUACAC
rnacentral:miRNA from 2 species